UACGAAGGGGGCGAGCGUUGUUCGGAUUUACUGGGCGUAAAGAGCGCGCAGGCGGUCGUACAAGUCGCGUGUGAAAGCCCCCGGCUCAACUGGGGAGGGUCACGCGAUACUGUUCGACUCGAAGGCAGGAGAGGGAAGUGGAAUUCCCGGUGUAGUGGUGAAAUGCGUAGAUAUCGGGAGGAACACCAGUGGCGAAGGCGACUUCCUGGCCUGUUCUUGACGCUGAGGCGCGAAAGCUAGGGUAGCAAACGGG
rnacentral:rRNA from 1 species